UUCUCUUUCACUGAGUAUAAAGUACGAAUAACAAUGCUUGUCUUAGAGAGUGAUUUGGAGACUUACUGCACUGUCCUGUGUUUUGCCUUGGCAUAAUAGACAUUCAGGAGUUGACUGUUAUAUCCUUUAUGAAUACUGGUGAAUUGUUGCAUAAGCUUAUCUGCAAACAAUACUGAACCUGUUUAACUUGUUCUUAUUAAUUUUUUUUCUCUCUUUGCACUGGAUCAAAGAGUUUAAAUUUAGAUAAAGAUUUUGUUCAUUAAAACUGGGAGAAUAAACAAAAA
rnacentral:lncRNA from 1 species